rnacentral:rRNA from 1 species
GACGAACGCUGGCGGCGUGCCUAAUACAUGCAAGUCGAGCGAAUCAAUGGGAGCUUGCUCCCUGAGAUUAGCGGCGGGCGGGUGAGUAACACGUGGGCAACCUGCCUGUAAGACUGGGAUAACUUCGGGAAACCGGAGCUAAUACCGGAUAAUCCUUUUCCUCUCAUGAGGGAAAGUUGAAAGUCGGUUUACGCUGACACUUACAGAUUGGCCCGCGGCGCAUUAGCUAGUUGGUGAGGUAAAGGCUCACCAAGGCGACGAUGCGUAGCCGACCUGAGAGGGUGAUCGGCCACACUGGGACUGAGACACGGCCCAGACUCCUACGGGAGGCAGCAGUAGGGAAUCUUCCGCAAUGGACGAAAGUCUGACGGAGCAACGCCGCGUGAGCGAUGAAGGCCUUCGGGUCGUAAAGCUCUGUUGUUAGGGAAGAACAAGUAUCGGAGUAACUGCCGGUACCUUGGCGGUACCUAACCAGAAAGCCACGGCUAACUACGUGCCAGCAGCCGCAGUAACAC